UACAUCAGCAAUAACAACUAUUGAUGAUAGUGAUGGUAUCGUGACCCUUGACCCUACUCCAGACAUGGACACCAGUGCACCUGAGCUCAGAAGAACUGACAGUGUAAUCCUUAACAGAAAAAUGCUUGGAUAUCCAGCAGAAGAAUCUCUGUCAAGUUCAGAGCUCAGCGAGGAUGAAUAUAUUCCGGAGACAGAGGAAGAAUCAGACAGUAACAGUUCACCAGAUGAAGAGGGUUUAGCAAAAAAUGUCAAACAACAUAAAAAAGGAAAGGUUAAGUCAAAAACAUCAAGAUCUCCACCAUGUAAAAGACAGUUCCUUGGCCAACAGUGGCACAAAAGAAUCCUCUUCAUUGGACAAAAAAGACCCCGGACAAUCCUCUUCAUCUGAUGAACAUGACAAUGAAGAAUCAUCUUCACCAGAUCAUUCCGACGUGACCGUCAUGAUGCUGAAGAAGAAAACUGAUGGAGGCAGAAUGUACAAUAAAAAGUACUACUGCUUAUUCUGCUCCAAACCAUUCAGUUUGGAAUCAAAGCACAAAGAUGUGCCAGAGGUGGCAAGAGCGGUCGCAUUUCCGAAAGGCUCUUAAGAGCGGAGAAUGCAGCUGAGUUUUUGGAGAAAUAAAGGGAACAGUUGUCAUAAUGCUCAAGUGCUUAAAGGAGGAACAGGAAUGGUGAUACCCCGACAGCAAUCCAUUGCUCCAGUAAGAGCCACAGGAUCUUCACAAAACUCACGGGGAAAGUGGUCAACAGAGGAGAUUGAGGCUGUGGAGAAGACUGAUGGACUGCAUCAGGUCAGGAAAGGUUCCUGGGAAAUCUCAGUGCAUGGAGUGCAUUGAAAGAUCCCCAGCAGCACUUCAAGGGAGAAGCUGGGAGGGGGUGAGAAUUUAUGUUAAGAAUCGUAUUGAUUCAUUAAAGCGAAAAAUGUAAAAGCAAAGGUGGAAGGGCAUUUACCUCAAUGUUUUUUCCUGUUUGUUAAAGGCAACAUGUUCAAAAUGUGUUUGCUUACAAAAUUAAUUUCAGUACGUUAAUAGAUCUUUGAAAUUAACACUGACAAGUUAAAUAAGUGUUUAAAGCUGCAGUAGGUACCUUUUGUAAAAAAAUAAUUUUUACAUAAUUAUUAAACCUGUCAUUAUGUCCUGACAGUAGAAUAUGAGA